rnacentral:rRNA from 1 species
UUCCGGUUGAUCCCGCCGGACCCGACUGCUAUCAGAGUGAGAUUAAGCCAUGCGAGUCAACGUAGCAAUACGUGGCACACGGCUCAGUAACACGUAGUCAACAUAACCAAAGGACGUGGAUAAACUCGGGAAACUGAGGCUAAACCGCGAUAGAUCAAGAUAUCUGGAAUGGUUUUUGAUCAAAAUCUAUAUGGCCUUUGGAUUGGACUGCGUCCGAUCAGGCUGUUGGUGAGGUAAUGGCCCACCAAACCUGUAACCGGUACAGGCUCUGAGAGGAGGAGCCCGGAGAUGGGUACUGAGACAAGGACCCAGGCCCUAUGGGGCGCAGCAGGCGCGAAACCUCUGCAAUAGGCGAAAGCCUGACAGGGUUACUCUGAGUGACUUUCGCUAGGAAAGUCUUUUGACACCUCUAAAAAUGGUGUAGAAUAAGGGGUGGGCAAGUCUGGUGUCAGCCGCCGCGGUAAUACCAGCACCCCGAGCGGUCGGGACGAUUAUUGGGCCUAAAGCAUCCGUAGCCGGUUUUACAAGUCCUCCGUUAAAUCCAGCUGCUUAACAGAUGGGCUGCGGAGGAUACUAUAAGACUAGGAGGCAGGAGAGGCAAGCGGUACUCAGUGGGUAGGGGUAAAAUCCGUUGAUCCAUUGAAGACCACCAGUGGCGAAGGCGGCUUGCCAGAAUGCGCUCGACGGUGAGGGAUGAAAGCUGGGGGAGCAAACCGGAUUAGAUACCCGGGUAGUCCCAGCUGUAAACGAUGCAGACUCGGUGAUGGACCAGCUUAAUGCUAGUCCAGUGCCGCAGGGAAGCCGUUAAGUCUGCCGCCUGGGUAGUACGGUCGCAAGACUGAAACUUAAAGGAAUUGGCGGGGGAGCACCACAAGGGGUGAAGCCUGCGGUUCAAUUGGAUUCAACGCCGGA